rnacentral:misc_RNA from 1 species
ACAAGUUGGGGUUGAAUCCCAAGCCCAUCAGUGAUUGCUACAAUACUGAGCUUGGGAAAAAGCUUGAACUGGAAUAUGCAGCCGAGACCGAUAAUCUUCAGCCUCCUCACAAAUACGUGCCUUGGGUUGUUGUAGAUGGGCAACCACUGUAUGAGGAUUAUGAAAACUUCAUAAAUUACAUCUGUGAGGCGUAUAAAGGACCUGUUCUGCCAAGUGCUUGUAAAUCUUCAUCCAUUAGUGCCAUUUGAAGAUAAAAAGCAUAGUCUAGCCUCCCAGAUACUUCAAGCUGAUAGAGACGAGAGAUGGUGAUAGUGUUGUUGAUUUAAUACGCAAGAAAGCGGUCGAGGUGAUAAUAUUAUCAUACACUGCUUGAACUAUAUCUCAUCGUACAUACCUCAUACUCUUGAAUUGAAUUCAGUUUAAUAAAUAAAUCAAGAUCG